UGAGACACGGCCCAGACUCCUACGGGAGGCAGCAGUGGGGAAUCUUAGACAAUGGGCGCAAGCCUGAUCUAGCCAUGCCGCGUGAGUGAUGAAGGCCUUAGGGUCGUAAAGCUCUUUCGCCUGUGAUGAUAAUGACAGUAGCAGGUAAAGAAACCCCGGCUAACUCCGUGCCAGCAGCCGCGGUAAUACGGAGGGGGUUAGCGUUGUUCGGAAUUACUGGGCGUAAAGCGCGCGUAGGCGGAUUAGAAAGUUGGGGGUGAAAUCCCGGGGCUCAACCCCGGAACUGCCUUCAAAACUCCCAGUCUAGAGUUCGAGAGAGGUGAGUGGAAUUCCGAGUGUAGAGGUGAAAUUCGUAGAUAUUUGGAGGAACACCAGUGGCGAAGGCGACUGUCUGGAC
rnacentral:rRNA from 1 species